rnacentral:rRNA from 1 species
CCUACGGGUGGCUGCAGUGAGGAAUAUUGGUCAAUGGACGAAAGUCUGAACCAGCCAAGCCGCGUGCAGGAUGACUGCCCUAUGGGUUGUAAACUUCUUUUAUAUGAGAAUAAAACGUUUCACGUGUGGGAUUUUGUAUGUACCGUAUGAAUAAGGAUCGGCUAACUCCGUGCCAGCAGCCGCGGUAAUACGGAGGAUCCGAGCGUUAUCCGGAUUUAUUGGGUUUAAAGGGAGCGUAGGUGGAUUGGUAAGUCAGUUGUGAAAGUUUGGGGCUCAACCGUAAAAUUGCAGUUGAUACUGGCAGUCUAGAGUACAGUAGAGGUGGGCGGAAUGCGUGGUGUAGCGGUGAAAUGCUUAGAUAUCACGAAGAACUCCGAUUGCGAAGGCAGUUCACUGGACUGCAACUGACACUGAGGCUCGAAAGUGUGGGUAGCAAACAGGAUUAGAUACCCGGGUAGUC